UCACACCUACUUCUCAAUUGGCAACAAGGUGACUAACAGGUAAGAGUAUGCUUCCAAUUUGCCUCCUUAACUUUAAGACUCUGCUGCUUCCUCAAUCUCCUUCCAAUCUUCUAAUCUUCCUUUCGGGCGUGGCGGGUAGCCCAUUGCCAAGGUUCAUUUCUUGUGUUGUUGUGUUGAUCCCGUCCAUCGCUGCAAUUGCGAACAAUGAUGUGGAGGUCAACUCGCUUUUCUCAUCUUGUUGCUAGAUUCACUCAACUUCAUCCUAAGCAUGCUUCUCACCGUUACUGCAACUUAUCCCGUUUCAACCCCUCACAAUCACAGAUGCACCAAAUCAUUAUAUUGGCCACAACGUUUCCAGGAAGGAUAAAAAUAAGUAUCUUCUCUCUACUGUAAGUAUCUAUUAUCAUGCCCAGUUAAGCUCGUCUUUUUUCUCGAAUUGCUUUUUUAAAUACCAAAUAAUG